rnacentral:rRNA from 1 species
CCUACGGGUGGCAGCAGUGGGGAAUAUUGGACAAUGGGGGGAACCCUGAUCCAGCCAUGCCGCGUGUGUGAAGAAGGCCCUCGGGUUGUAAAGCACUUUCAGUGAGGAAGAACGCCUGGUGGUUAAUACCCAUCAGGAAAGACAUCACUCACAGAAGAAGCACCGGCUAACUCCGUGCCAGCAGCCGCGGUAAUACGGAGGGUGCGAGCGUUAAUCGGAAUUACUGGGCGUAAAGCGCGCGUAGGUGGCUUGAUAAGCCGGUUGUGAAAGCCCCGGGCUCAACCUGGGAACGGCAUCCGGAACUGUCAAGCUAGAGUGCAGGAGAGGAAGGUAGAAUUCCCGGUGUAGCGGUGAAAUGCGUAGAGAUCGGGAGGAAUCCCAGUGGCGAAGACGGCCUUAUGGACUGACACUGACACUGGGGUGCGAAAGCGUGGGUAGCAAACAGGAUUAGAUACCCUAGUAGUC